AUUGAACGCUGGCGGCAGGCUUAACACAUGCAAGUCGAACGAUGUAGCAAUACAUAGUGGCGCACGGGUGAGUAACGCGUGGGAAUAUACCUUAUAGUGGGGGAAUAACUUUGGGAAACUAAAGCUAAUACCGCAUACGCCCGAGAGGGGAAAGAUUUAUCGCUAUAAGAUUAGCCCGCGUGAGAUUAGGUAGUUGGUGGGGUAAUGGCCUACCAAGCCUACGAUCUCUAGCUGGUCUGAGAGGAUGAUCAGCCACACUGGAACUGAGACACGGUCCAGACUCCUACGGGAGGCAGCAGUGGGGAAUAUUGGGCAAUGGACGAAAGUCUGACCCAGCCAUGCCGCGUGAAUGAUGAAGGCCUUAGGGUUGUAAAGUUCUUUCGCCGAUGAAGAUAAUGACGGUAGUCGGAGAAGAAGCCCCGGCUAACUUCGUGCCAGCAGCCGCGGUAAU
rnacentral:rRNA from 1 species